GUCAAAUUUGAGCUCCUGGAUGCCAAGCCUGUGAUCAGCAUACCCGAGCCACGAUGCUGUUAGCCUGUUACACACACAUCAACUUCACCGCAAGGUUCAGCAAGGAGGAUUCGCAGGAACAGCUUUUCUUCGCUGAGAUUUACCACUGUGGCAAAAGGAGGGCUCCGAGUGGCUUCAUCGUCACUUGCUGUGAGCCAUUGGGCUCUGAUUCUGCAGCGGGACAGAAGUUUUGCAAGCCUGAUGGUAGCUCGGUGGUGAGCAACAAUGCUGAUUUUACUUACUGCUUCGCCUGCACCGAGAGGAUGUUGCAUCCGAGGGGCGAAAACUAUGUCGCUGGCCACUGCAGCAUCCCGCGUGUUUACGACUAUGUGCGUUAGCAGUGCAGUGAAGAAGCAGGUGGAACUCUGUGUACUUGUGCCAUUUUUGCACUUGCUGCUGGAGACUACUGACGGAGUUACCAGAUCCGGGGCUUAACCUCACCUUUCCACUCUUCAAAGUGCUCGGUUGGUGAUUGCCCAUUAUUCUGGAUGUUCUUGGUUUUCUGAAAUCAAUUAUCUGAAUGAAAUAAUUGAUUUCGCUGUAGUUGUCUGAACACUAGCAAACCCUACAAUGACUGUAGGGGAAAAAUAAACACAUUUGUCACAAUUCCAA